GGGUAGUCCUAGCCGUAAACGCUGCGAGCCAGGUGUCGCGUAUUCUUCGGGAAUGCGCGGUGUCGUAACGAAGGUGUUAAGCUCGCCGCCUGGGGAGUACGGUCGCAAGGCUGAAACUUAAAGGAAUAGGCGGGGGAGCACUACAAGGGGUGCGGCGUGCGGUUCAAUUGAACUCAACGCCGGGAAUCUCACCAGGACCGACGGCAGGAUGAAGGUCAGUCUGAAGGGCUUACCUGACGGGCCAAGAGGUGGUGCAUGGCCGCCGUCAGCUCGUGCUGUGAAGUGUCCUGUUAAGUCAGGCAACGAGCGAGACCUGCACCCACAAUUGCCAGCACACUUUGAGUGGGCACAUUGUGGGGACUGCUCCGGAAACGGAGAGGAAGGUGCAGGCUACGGUAGGUCAGUAUGCCCCGAAUGCCCUGGGCUACACGCGCGCAACAAUGGUAGGGGACAAUGGGGCUGCAACCCCCGAAAGGGGGGAAGCUAAUCCUCUAAACCCCUAUCUUAGUCCGGAUUGAGGUUUGUAACCCAACC
rnacentral:rRNA from 1 species